rnacentral:rRNA from 1 species
GGACCCGCACAAGCAGUGGAGCAUGUGGUUUAAUUCGAAGAUACGCGCAGAACCUUACCAACACUUGACAUGUUCGUCGCGAGCCUAAGAGAUUAGGCUUUUCAGUUUGGCUGGACGAAACACAGGUGCUGCAUGGCUGUCGUCAGCUCGUGUCGUGAGAUGUUGGGUUAAGUCCCGCAACGAGCGCAACCCCCUACUUUUAGUUGCCACCAUUUAGUUGGGCACUUUAAAAGAACUGCCAGUGAUAAGCUGGAGGAAGGUGGGGAUGACGUCAAGUCCUCAUGGCCCUUAUGUGUUGGGCUACACACGUGCUACAAUGGCACUUACAAUGGGAAGCAAAGAGGCGACUCCUAGCUAAUCCCUAAAAUGUGUCUCAGUUCGGAUUGUACUCUGUAACUCGAGUGCAUG